rnacentral:rRNA from 1 species
GAGUGAACGCUGGCGGUAGGCCUAACACAUGCAAGUCGAACGGCAGCACAGUAAGAGCUUGCUCUUACGGGUGGCGAGUGGCGGACGGGUGAGGAAUACAUCGGAAUCUACUUUUUCGUGGGGGAUAACGUAGGGAAACUUACGCUAAUACCGCAUACGACCUACGGGUGAAAGCAGGGGAUCUUCGGACCUUGCGCGGUUGAAUGAGCCGAUGUCGGAUUAGCUAGUUGGCGGGGUAAAGGCCCACCAAGGCGACGAUCCGUAGCUGGUCUGAGAGGAUGAUCAGCCACACUGGAACUGAGACACGGUCCAGACUCCUACGGGAGGCAGCAGUGGGGAAUAUUGGACAAUGGGCGCAAGCCUGAUCCAGCCAUACCGCGUGGGUGAAGAAGGCCUUCGGGUUGUAAAGCCCUUUUGUUGGGAAAGAAAAGCAGCAGGUUAAUACCCCGCUGUUCUGACGGUACCCAAAGAAUAAGCACCGGCUAACUUCGUG